UCGAAUUACCGAGGGUUGAUGCUGGCAGUCCUUGAUUGCAUGUGCUCGCUCUCUUUAAUCCACUUACACACGUGCACUAAAUUUUUUGAAGGCAGGGUAAAAAUCUGCCUUUGAAACUUAUAAAUUCGUAUUUUGAUGUAAUGACUUGUCUGCCGCAAGGCAAAAUUUAAUA
rnacentral:misc_RNA from 1 species